AAACAAUAAAUAGUUGAUUUAAUAUAUUAGAUUCUAAAAGAAGCAAAAAAGCAUAUAAUUUUACAAAGAUUGUUUUUUUUUUUUUUACUGUACACAACUUUUCUCCCAGAAGCUUUUCUUUUCUUCCAGAAAGCUUAGUUUUUUAAAAAUAACAAUUUUUCUGAAAGGAAAUCGGUGUGAGAGGUACUUUAAAGGGGUCAUUUUUCGAUUUUCUCAAAGGAUUUCUCAUCUAAUAAGAAAAAACGAUAAAAGAAGACGGGAAAAUGUACGAAAUAUAUUUAUAUAAUAUUACGA